CGCCGCCGCCGCCUCAGCCUGCUGCUCCGCCUGCGCCUCCUGCUCCCGGCGCUCGGCCCCAGCACGCCGGCUCCCGAGCGGCCAUGGGCGGCGCGGGGUCCGCAGUGUAGAGUCCGCCAGUCCCGGACCCGCGUCCCGCACCCUGACGGUCCCGAUUUUAUUUGGGAAGAGAUAUCAAAGAGAGACAGAAGCAAGAAUUAUGUUUGCUUAAGUUUAAGAGGUAAAACUAUAUAAAACUCUUAGAAGAAAAACGGAAAUAUCUUCAAAACCUUGGAUUUGGCAGUGGUUUUUUAGGUAUAACAUCAAAAGCACAGACGAGAAAAAAUAGAAAACUUGGACCUCCUCAAAAUUUAAACUUUUGUGCAUCAAAGGAUUCACUGAAGAGAGAAAGGACAACCCAUGGAAUGGGAGAAAAUACUUGCAAACCAUAUAUCUGGUAAGUGAUCAACAUCUACUAUGCAUAAAGAACUACAAGUCAACGACAACAAAAACUACACUCAGUUCAAAAAUGGAAAGGAUGUGAAUAGACAUUUCUUCAAAGAAGUUACAUAAAUGCCUAACCAGCACUAUUCUCAAAAAAAAAAAAAAAAAA